CGUAGGUGGCAAGCGUUGUCCGGAAUUACUGGGUGUAAAGGGCGUGUAGGCGGGAAGAUAAGUCAGAUGUGAAAGUUCCGGGGCUCCAACCCCCGGCGCUGCAUCUGAAACUUAUUUUUCUUGAGUGAUGGAGAGGAAAGCGGAAUUCCUAGUGUAGCGGUGAAAUGCGUAGAUAUUAGGAGGAACACCAGUGGCGAAGGCGGCUUUCUGGACAUUAACUGACGCUGAGGCGCGAAAGCGGUGGGGAGCAAACAGGAUUAGAUACCCUGGUAGUCCACGCUGUAAACGAUGGAUACUAGGUGUGGGGAGGUAUCGACCCCUUCCGUGCCGGAGUUAACACAAUAAGUAUCCCACCUGGGGAGUACGGCCGCAAGGUUG
rnacentral:rRNA from 1 species